AUGAGAUAGUGGCGGACGGGUGAGUAACGCGUGGGCAACCUACCUUUCACAGAGGGAUAACACAGGGAAACCUGUGCUAAUACCGCAUAACAUAUUGAUAGGGCAUCCUAUUGAUAUCAAAGGAGCAAUCCGGUGGAAGAUGGGCCCGCGUCCAAUUAGCUAGUUGGUAGUGUAACGGACUACCAAGGCGACGAUUGGUAGCCGAACUGAGAGGUUGAUCGGCCACAUUGGGACUGAGACACGGCCCAGACUCCUACGGGAGGCAGCAGUGGGGAAUAUUGCGCAAUGGGGGGAACCCUGACGCAGCAACGCCGCGUGAAGGAAGAAGGUUUUAGGAUUGUAAACUUCUUUGGUGAGGGACGAAGCAAGUGACGGUACCUCAGGAACAAGCCACGGCUAACUACGUGCCAGCAGCCGCGGUAAUACGUAGGUGGCGAGCGUUAUCCGGAAUUACUGGGUGUAAAGGGCGCGCAGCGGGGAUGCAAGUCAGAUGUGAAUACCGGCGCUUAACGCCGGGCUGCAUCUGAACUGUGUUUCUUGAGUGUCGGAGAGGAAAGUGGAAUUCCCAGUGUAGCGGUGAAAUGCGUAGAGAUUGGGARGAACCACAGUGACGAAGCGCUUUCUKGGA
rnacentral:rRNA from 1 species